rnacentral:misc_RNA from 1 species
AAAUGCGAUAAUUAAUGUGAAUUGCAGAAUUCAGUGAAUCAUCGAGUCUUUGAACGCACAUUGCGCCCCCUGGUAUUCCGGGGGCAUGCCUGUCCGAGCGUCAUUGCUGCCCUCAAGCACGGCUUGUGUGUUGGGCUUCCGUCCCUGGCAACGGGGACGGGCCCAAAAGGCAGUGGCGGCACCAUGUCUGGUCCUCGAGCGUAUGGGGCUUUGUCACCCGCUCCCGUAGGUCCAGCUGGCAGCUAGCCUCGCAACCAAUCUUUUUAACCAGGUUGACCUCGGAUCAGGUAGGGAUACCCGCUGAACUUAAG